rnacentral:rRNA from 1 species
UACGUAGGGUGCGAGCGUUAAUCGGAAUUACUGGGCGUAAAGCGUGCGCAGGCGGUCUGUUAAGACCGAUGUGAAAUCCCCGGGCUUAACCUGGGAACUGCAUUGGUGACUGGCAGGCUUUGAGUGUGGCAGAGGGAGGUAGAAUUCCACGUGUAGCAGUGAAAUGCGUAGAGAUGUGGAGGAACACCGAUGGCGAAGGCAGCCCCCUGGGUUAACACUGACGCUCAGGCACGAAAGCGUGGGGAGCAAACAGG